rnacentral:rRNA from 1 species
AACGAACGCUGGCGGCAUGCCUAACACAUGCAAGUCGAACGAGACCUUCGGGUCUAGUGGCGCACGGGUGCGUAACGCGUGGGAACCUGCCUUUAGGUUCGGAAUAACUCAGAGAAAUUUGAGCUAAUACCGGAUGAUGUCUUCGGACCAAAGAUUUAUCGCCUUUAGAUGGGCCCGCGUUGGAUUAGCUAGUUGGUGGGGUAAGGGCCUACCAAGGCGACGAUCCAUAGCUGGUCUGAGAGGAUGAUCAGCCACACUGGGACUGAGACACGGCCCAGACUCCUACGGGAGGCAGCAGUGGGGAAUAUUGGACAAUGGGCGAAAGCCUGAUCCAGCAAUGCCGCGUGAGUGAUGAAGGCCUUAGGGUUGUAAAGCUCUUUUACCCGAGAUGAUAAUGACAGUAUCGGGAGAAUAAGCUCCGGCUAACUCCGUG